rnacentral:tRNA from 1 species
GGAGAAUUAGCUCAGCUGGGAGAGCAUCUGCCUUACAAGCAGAGGGUCGCCGGUUCGAACCCGUCAUUCUCC